CUCUUCUCCCCCUUGGGAAAGUCUUCUUCCUUCUGUGUCCUGAUCUAAACUCUCACUGUCUCUGAGAAGCCCUCAGGGAACUAGCUCUCCUCUCAACUCAUGUCAAAGACCCCCAGUGAAUGCCAGUUCCCCCACUCCACCCUCCUUUCAUAGUGGUCAGUGGGCACUGUGGGCCCUCUAGUCAGCUUCCAGGCUGACUGUAGAAACUUCUUGCCCAGUUCCCUGCCCCUGCGAGCUCAAGGUGUCUGAAAACUUAAGUGUGUGAAACUUCCCCCAAUGCCUUAAAAGCACUAAAUCCCUUCAUGAUGACAUCAGAUCCUGGCAACUAGCAGAAAACCUCUUGUGAAGAAGGGAAGUGACUGAGGACUUAUGGCCCACCCACUGCCUUGGACACCUGGAGAGAACAAGGCUUUUGAUGUGACAAGGCUUUUGAAGUUGAAACCUGAGCCUCAGUUUUCUUAUCUGUAAAAUGGAGCUGAUGACAGCAGGGGAGGAAACUACAUGCAGAUGGUGAAAUUAGGCCUUGAACACACAUUAAUUC
ensembl:lncRNA